AUUGAACGUUGGCGGCAGGCCUAACACAUGCAAGUCGAGCGGAUGAAGGGAGCUUGCUCCUGAAUUCAGCGGCGGACGGGUGAGUAAUGCCUAGGAAUCUGCCUGGUAGUGGGGGAUAACGUCCGGAAACGGGCGCUAAUACCGCAUACGUCCUGAGGGAGAAAGUGGGGGAUCUUCGGACCUCACGCUAUCAGAUGAGCCUAGGUCGGAUUAGCUAGUUGGUGGGGUAAAGGCCUACCAAGGCGACGAUCCGUAACUGGUCUGAGAGGAUGAUCAGUCACACUGGAACUGAGACACGGUCCAGACUCCUACGGGAGGCAGCAGUGGGGAAUAUUGGACAAUGGGCGAAAGCCUGAUCCAGCCAUGCCGCGUGUGUGAAGAAGGUCUUCGGAUUGUAAAGCACUUUAAGUUGGGAGGAAGGGCAGUAAGUUAAUACCUUGCUGUUUUGACGUUACCAACAGAAUAAGCACCGGCUAACUUCGUG
rnacentral:rRNA from 1 species